UAAUACGGAGGAUCCAAGCGUUAUCCGGAUUUAUUGGGUUUAAAGGGUGCGUAGGCGGCGAAUUAAGUCAGAGGUGAAAGCCUGCAGCUCAACUGUAGAACUGCCUUUGAUACUGGUUCGCUUGAGUACAGAUGAAGUGGGCGGAAUGUGACAAGUAGCGGUGAAAUGCAUAGAUAUGUCACAGAACACCGAUUGCGAAGGCAGCUCACUAAAGUGUAACUGACGCUGAGGCACGAAAGCGUGGGGAUCAAACAGGAUUAGAUACCCUGGUAGUCCACGCCCUAAACGAUGAUUACUCGCUGUCGGCGAUAUACAGUCGGCGGCUAAGCGAAAGCGUUAAGUAAUCCACCUGGGGAGUACGGUCGCAAGAUUG
rnacentral:rRNA from 1 species